UCUGUGGAGGUCUAGACUAACUCACGUUUUAUGUGAGUUGAGAUACAUAUAGCUGCUUAAUUUCACUGCUGUUAAUGUUUUUAGGUCAGAAAAACGUGAUUAAAGAGCGUCAGACUUUGUGUGACUGUUUGGGGACGUUGCACUAUGGUAAAUCCAUCUGCACUCAUAGAAAGCGCAACUCCUUGUCGUCCACGUCGCUGAUUUGUAUUGAUCCACAGACUCCACUCUCAAAAUGAUGCAAGUUAAUGCCACGCUAAAAAGAGGUUCCCAAGAAGAACUCUUCCUGAUUGGUUCAUUGAUGGGUCAGUUCUUCAAGCCUCCUGGAGGUGGCGCUUCUCAAAUGAAAUAAGGGGAGUAUUCUGGACACCCGGAGAGAGAAUUGUCAUGAUGUCAUCCCUGGUGGUCACCGUGGUGACGGCGACGACAACAGACACGUCUCACCAGGGCCGUGCUUGUCUGCAGGUAAACUGCAACACACACAUUUUCAUUUUCGACUCAGUCGCUCACAGAAUAUUUCAUUCACAAAGGCGCAUUACAUGAAUAAAUAAAACUAAACACAUGAAAUUUGUUUAGUUUGGACUAUAGACUCCGUUAGCUGACCUGAUUGAAGAGAUUACAUGCUAAACAUAUCAGAGAGGUUUAUUUGUACAAGUUAGUACAAGUCAAUUAUUGAACUGUAGUAGUUUCCCAACAUUUAUUGAGGCAGGGCACGUACUUCAAAUUAAAAAAAUAUAUCUCAGGGCAAACAAAAAUGUUUUAUAAAUGGCAGCAGGUGGAUACACAGGUUAAUUAUGUACUUCCUGCCAUCGAGAAGAAGAGCAUUUCAUUGUUCUCGCUGUCACUAGACAUUGCUGUCUUAGACGAACAGAUGAACAAAGACAUAUUUAUAGUACCGUAAUCCCUCGUUUAGGUGGCAGACAGACAGUGAUGUCAGGAGUUCAGAGUUGACUUUCAGCUUGGUGUGGGUUACAGCCAUAACAGUAUCUUGUGUUUUCAUUCGGGAUUAUUGUGAGAUAAUUCCAAUUUGCAAUGAAAACCUGUUGUAGAUGUUUGUGUGCCUCACCAAACUUCACUGUAACAUUACUGACACGUAGUGACCAGUGUGGAAUAAUGAAAAAAAAUUUUGUGAAAUUGUAUCAUUACCCGUGACACACUUGGAGAUCACACGAAUGGUUUGGGAAUCAUGGAACUACAGAAGUGAAAUUAAUUAUACUCAUACAAGACAAUCAAAGUAAAAAAGUCAAAAAAUGCUAUAAUGAAUUGCGGAAUGAGCGCACGUUGUAACAUGGGAUAUUUACACAGAAAGAUACACUAUAAACCUUGCAAUCCUACUUACACUCAUUGUUCCCGAGUCACUGGCUUUUUUUUUGGAGUUGAACUUUAGCUGCCACGGUCCAAACAGUCCAAGCAGCAGCUGAAUAGUAAUUCUAUACUUGAUCAAACUUACUUAAUAUUUGUCAGAUCAUAACACGAUUGCCGCAUAAGACUUCAAAAUGUGAUACUUGCGUCCUCUUCACGACUCACGGCAUCAUGGAAAUUGAUUGGAUCUUUUGGCCAUAAAUGAGCCACAUCAUUGUUUAUGCCGCAGUGUUUAAGCUUGUGAAAGUACCAUAAAUUAUGGUAAAUAGUAUCAGGAAAUGACUAGAAUACUUAAGGUAUCGCCAUCCAUCUUAACUAUAAGCUGUUGUAGUCUAAUAAACUUCUGGGUGAGAAAAUGCGAGCAUUUCUUGGCGGGAAGCGAGGACGUCUCUCAGCACGAAUAAAUAUAUGAAUGAAUCCGUGUUUUCUCAUGCAAACACUGCCUGGCUGAUGACUUGAGCGAGAGGCGGCGGCUUAACGAGAUCACUGGAGGACGCCUGGUUUGCCCCCGCUGCCCAUUCACAGAGUGUGAGCAGCACACACACUCAUGUGUGAAAUGGACUCUUCAUACGCUUUAAGGGCUGCAUCUUAAUCCCCCACCCUCUGGAUUCCUUUAUGGGGGGGGGGUGGUGAGGGGUGGUGCAGGGGGCGUGGCCAUUGAAUCCCCUGACAGAGGUUGUGUAUCUGCUGGGAUAGAGGUGAUGAUUUCAUUAAGGACGCUUGGCUGAGCCACAAUGGCUGCACAGCAAUUCUAUGGUGUGUUUGUCAAAGUGUAACUUGCACAUAAUCUUCAUCUCAUAGACCGACCCCCCAGGAUGACCCCUCUUCUUCUUAAGAAUGAGCCAGGGUGACAAUAAUAAAAUAAUAAUUUGCUAACUUUACUAACAAGUUAGAACGUGUAGGCUAGUUGCCUUUAAUACAGGGGUGGGCAAACUUUACGACUAUAUAUAUAUAUAUAUGACUAUAUUUUACA